rnacentral:rRNA from 1 species
CCUACGGGCGGCAGCAGUGAGGAAUAUUGGUCAAUGGACGCGAGUCUGAACCAGCCAUGUCGCGUGAAGGAUGACGGCUCUAUGAGUUGUAAACUUCUUUUGUACGAGAAUAAAUCAGGAUACGCAUAUCCGGUUGAAAGUAUCAUACGAAUAAGGAUCGGCUAACUCCGUGCCAGCAGCCGCGGUAAUACGGAGGAUUCAAGCGUUAUCCGGAUUUAUUGGGUUUAAAGGGUGCGUAGGGGGACGUUUAAGUCCGCGGUAAAAUUUCGGGGCUCAACCUCGUCGAGCCGUUGAAACUGGGGGUCUUGAGUGGGCGAGAAGUACGCGGAAUGCGUGGUGUAGCGGUGAAAUGCAUAGAUAUCACGCAGAACUCCGAUUGCGAAGGCAGCGUACCGGCGCCCAACUGACGCUGAAGCACGAAGGCGUGGGUAUCGAACAGGAUUAGAUACCCGUGUAGUC